rnacentral:rRNA from 1 species
UACGUAGGGGCAAGCGUUGUCCGGAAUUAUUGGCGUAAAGCGCGUGUAGGCGGUCCGGUAAGUCGGCUGUGAAAGUCCAGGGCUCAACCCUGGGAUGCCGGUCGAUACUGCCGGACUAGAGUUCGGAAGAGGCGAGUGGAAUUCCCGGUGUAGCGGUGAAUGCGCAGAUAUCGGGAGGAACACCAAUGGCGAAGGCAGCUCGCUGGGACGUUACUGACGCUGAGACGCGAAAGCGGUGGGGAGCAAACAGG